AUUGAACGCUAGCGGGAUGCUUUACACAUGCAAGUCGAACGGCAGCGCGGACUUCGGUCUGGCGGCGAGUGGCGAACGGGUGAGUAAUGUAUCGGAACGUGCCCAGUAGCGGGGGAUAACUACGCGAAAGCGUAGCUAAUACCGCAUACGCCCUACGGGGGAAAGCAGGGGAUCGUAAGACCUUGCACUAUUGGAGCGGCCGAUAUCGGAUUAGCUAGUUGGUGAGGUAACGGCUCACCAAGGCGAUGAUCCGUAGCUGGUUUGAGAGGACGACCAGCCACACUGGGACUGAGACACGGCCCAGACUCCUACGGGAGGCAGCAGUGGGGAAUUUUGGACAAUGGGGGCAACCCUGAUCCAGCCAUCCCGCGUGUGCGAUGAAGGCCUUCGGGUUGUAAAGCACUUUUGGCAGGAAAGAAACGUCGCGGGCUAAUACCCCGUGGAACUGACGGUACCUGCAGAAUAAGCACCGGCUAACUACGUG
rnacentral:rRNA from 1 species